rnacentral:tRNA from 2 species
GCCCAGGUGGCGGAAUUGGUAGACGCGCUGGCUUCAGGUGCCAGUGACCGCAAGGUCGUGGAAGUUCGAGUCUUCUCCUGGGCACCA